AAAAAAGAGGACAGAAAAAUAUGAAAAAGAAAGAAAAAAAGAAAAGAAAAAACAGUAGAUGAAAAAAGAAAAAACAAAAGGAAAAACGAAUAAUGACAAGAGAAGAAAGGUAAAGAGAAAAGAAGAAAAAAGCCAAGUCAAAAAGUAAAGAAUAACUCGAAGGAAGGAGUGGAUGGCAAGAAAUACAGAGAAAGCAGUGCAUAGCACAGCAGAGCAAAGCAAGGCAAAAUAGCAGCCAAAGCCACGAGAAUCAAGAAGUCAGUGAAGAGCAGGAAAGGUAAGUUUCCCUUAAAGCAAGGGGGAAUGGUAGUGGAAGGGAGAAAAGAGAG
ensembl:lncRNA